CUAUGGCCUGAAGCUAUCAAACUUCUUUGAAGUAAAAAAAUUAAACUCCUUGUGGGUUUUCCAAGGCAUGGCCGUGGGCUGAAUCAUGAACAGCCACGACCUGUUCCUUCCCUUCUUGUUUCUUUGUCAUCAAGCCCACGAGAUCCUCAAAAGAUUUUCACCACUAACGCCCUGGGAAAAAUAAUCACGCCGGCGGUGGCGCUGCCUCCUCCCUUCCCGGUCCCAAAUAUGCUGCUCUUCCUUGGCCGUCGCAGACCCGCCGCUGUUGAGUCAAUUUUCUUUCUCCGCUGGAACCAGCCCCGCCGCCAAUUUUGCCUGCCACAGCCUGCAAGUGUGCAAAGUAUCCUUGCGAUGCCUUCAUUCUAUACGCAAUUCACAGAACGGCUGGACUUAGGAGCGGCACGCCUAUCAAAUCAAGGCGGGGCUGUGGGUGACCCUGCGGGUGCCAGAGAUGCGGAGAAUAAGGAGCUGGCCUACACGGUACUAAGUGAUGGUGGUACGUCCAUUGCACGCAUUUGGUUCAUCCGAUAUUCCGUGAUCAGUCCCACGCGCCUCCACGGCCGGCCCUGAUCGCGGCCUCGACCUCCAUGGGGUCUCCACCGAGUGCCGCCCCGACAUGCUGCUCUGGACAAUAACGCUCACGCUCCCGUCGGCCAGGCAUGCCGUCCCAGGGCUGGUCAUCACCGUUUCCUGACUCUGUUUCUCCAGGUCUAUGGUCGCCAUCGUUGGAGGUCUAUGGUUGUCCAGUCCAUGCUACAGCAGUAUAGCUCCAUCCAUCCUAGGGUGCUCCAACAAGGGUACACAAGGCCACUUGUUGGAUUCUUUGUGUUGAAGACACUUGGUUACUACAGUGCUGGGAGUCUAGGAAAAAAGUGGAGCAUGGCAUCAAUCUUGUCGAGCCGGUCUCAACAGGCCCUCCUCUCUCGCCGCUUCCUUCCAGCAACGUUAUUGUGGUACGGUAUUUGGAAGAGCAAACUGCAGUGAUGAACUACUUACUUUUGAUAUGGUAGAGAGGACUGGAGUUGAGAAAACCUCUGUAGUCUGUACUCUCAUCCUAGAUUUCAGGUCAGUAUUGCCUAAUUGAAUAGUUCUUUUUGGUUGGAACAGGGAUUUAUUUUGACAAUCAUUGUAGUCUCUCCUGCUCCAGGGCUACGGAGCAGAAUACAACAAGAAGAGUUAUGCUACUAAACUAUACUCGUUAUUCUGCUGGCUGUACAUCCAUCUAUUGGGGGAUGCUACUUAGCUUCACACUUUUGUGCACCUGACAUGCUUGAACUAAUUGGAUGGAAUGAGCUGUCUCGCAAUACCAUUUUUAUCACAAAUGAUGAAGUUCAUUGCAUCAAAGUCUUCAAUUUGACUAAGUGUUGAUUUGGACUUGAAAGUUGAUGGCCAUGCUCACUUACGUCCAGUAAGUUGUAAUAUGCAUUGUGACUGAUUUGUUGUUCACUUUUUUUCCUAUUAUAACUGAAACCCAGGUCGCUGCCAGACAUGUCGUGAAGAAAUUCCACCAUUGGACAUGAGCUCAUUUUUCCUUCUUAGUAGCCACUGAUUGAGGUUUACAGUUAUGCCAGUGCAUGAUUUUAUAAUUUCAAUGUUGUUUUAAUGUUGGGAAAUGUAGAAUACUUUGCGGGGAUUUAUGUAGAUUGGAUAGUCCUUCAGAUCGGUGUUACAUAAUUAGUUUGUAUUUCAAAGGUGAUGGUCAUCCAUGAAGAUCUAAGUGCUUUACUUAAGAAAUACACUCAGUUCAUCUUUGUAGUUUGUACUUUGUGUAUAGCAUCUGGGUAUAAGCUGGCAUUUGCACAAUCUAGCAAAGAAGAUACUCUACAAGAAAUAUACACUUACAUUAUGUUUACAUAUAGGGUAGGCAAAAAAAUUGAGGAUUCAUAGCAACGCUCGGGCAAAAAAAUAUGUUCACGAAAUUUAAUGAAGAGAUCCCACAAUAAUUUUAUAUGGAGAGUUACACCGAAGUAAAGUGGGUCGACGAUGAAACAUAGUGAUCAAGCAGCGACGUACUGGUGAAGUCUGAGCCAAGGGGUGGUUGAAAUGGGAAGAA